CCUGCCAGUAGUCAUAUGCUCGUCUCAAAGAUUAAGCCAUGCACGUCUAAGUACGAGCCUUCGAACGGCGAGACUGCGGACGGCUCAUUAAAUCGGUCAUAAUCCGCUCGAUCGCGACCUCACUCGGACAACCGUAGUAAUCCUAGAGCUAAUACGUGCGAAAGGGCCCCGCGAGGGGCCCGUAUUUAUUAGGCGAAGGACCGACGCGGGCCGCGAGGCCCGUCACUCGGCGAAUCGGAACGACUCCGCGGAUCGCGCGGCCGGCCCGCCGUGGUGCUCACGGGUGACGGAGAAUCGGGGUUCGAUUCCGGAGAGGGAGCCUGAGAGACGGCUACCACUUCUACGGAAGGCAGCAGGCGCGUAAAUUACCCAAUCCCGACCCGGGGAGGUAGUGACGAUAAAUAACGGCGCGGGGCCGAAGAGGUCCCGCGGUCGGAAUGAGGACGACCCAAACCCGCUACCGAGCAACGAUCGGAGGGCAAGUCUGGUGCCAGCAGCCGCGGUAAUUCCAGCUCCGAUAGCGUAUAUUAAAGUUGCUGCGGUUGAAGAGCUCGUAGUCGGACCUCUGCGGGCCGCGCGGGUCCCGGCCCGCCCCGAGCGGGCGCGCGCCGGACCCCGCGGCCCCUUUCCCGUCCGGGACGCUCCCCCCCCCUUUUCCCGCGAGGGAGGAGGGGGCCCGGGGGGCCCCGGACCAUUUACCUCGAAGAAACCGGGGUGUCCAAGGCGGGCCCGUCCGAGACGGCGCCUCGAACGUCGCAGCACGGGAUAACCAUCGCGGGCCGGGCCCCCGAUAUGACGUCGGUCCCGGGGGCGCGGCGCACGGUCGAAGGGGACGGUCGGGGCCAUCGAUACUUCGUCGUCAGAGGUGAAAUUCUCGGAUUGACGAGAGAUCGACGAGGGCGAAGGCUUUUGGCGAGGACGCCCCCCUCGAUCAAGAACGAAAGUUAGGGGAUCGAAGACGAUCAGAUACCGUCGUAGUCUUAACCGUAAACGAUGCCGACCGGGGAUCGGGGGGAGUCGCGCGCGUCGACCCCCCCGGCGCCCCGCGGGGAACCGGAGUCUUCGGGUUCCGGGGGGAGUAUGGUCGCAAGGCUGAAACUUAAAGGAAUUGACGGAAGGGCACCACCAGGAGUGGAGCCUGCGGCUUAAUUUGAC
rnacentral:rRNA from 1 species